GGUUCCAUAGUGCAGCGGUUAGCAUGUCCGCUUUACACUCAGAAGGUCCUGGGUUCAUGCCCCAGUGGAGCCA
rnacentral:tRNA from 1 species